ACUCUGAUGGCUGAGACUUAAGCAGUAGACUGUAGAUCUAUUAACGGGAAUCUACUCCCUUAGAGUA
rnacentral:tRNA from 1 species